rnacentral:rRNA from 1 species
CAGCAGUCGCCACGGGAAUACAGAGGGUGCGAGCGUUAAUCGGAUUUACUGGGCGUAAAGCGUGCGUAGGCGGCUAAUUGAGUCGGAUGUGAAAUCCCCGAGCUUAACUUGGGAAUUGCAUUCGAUACUGGUUAGCUAGAGUGUGGGAGAGGAUGGUAGAAUUCCAGGUGUAGCGGUGAAAUGCGUAGAGAUCUGGAGGAAUACCGAUGGCGAAGGCAGCCAUCUGGCCUAACACUGACGCUGAGGUACGAAAGCAUGGGGAGCAAACAGGAUUAGAUACCCCGGUAGUCCCUGUCUCUUAUAC